GACGAACGCUGGCGGCGUGCUUAACACAUGCAAGUCGAACGGAAAGGCCCUGCUUUUGUGGGGUGCUCGAGUGGCGAACGGGUGAGUAACACGUGAGUAACCUGCCCUUGACUUUGGGAUAACUUCAGGAAACUGGGGCUAAUACCGGAUAGGAGCUCCUGCUGCAUGGUGGGGGUUGGAAAGUUUCGGCGGUUGGGGAUGGACUCGCGGCUUAUCAGCUUGUUGGUGGGGUAGUGGCUUACCAAGGCUUUGACGGGUAGCCGGCCUGAGAGGGUGACCGGCCACAUUGGGACUGGGCUACGGCACGGACUCCUACGGGAGGCAGCGGUGGGGAAUAUUGCACAAUGGGCGGAAGCCUGGUGCAGCAACGCCGCGUGCGGGAUGACGGCCUUCGGGUUGUAAACCGCAUUCGCCUGUGACGAAGCGUGAGUGACGGUAAUGGGUGAAGAAGCACCGGCUAACUACGUG
rnacentral:rRNA from 1 species